UCCAUACCGUUGAUGUGGUGUGGGCCACUUGUAUUUGGGGAUUUGCUUAAUUUCAGUCGAGCCGGCGAAAGAAAACGGUUUUUUUCUUGGCAAAGAGAGAGAGAGAGAGAGCGAGAGAGAGAGAUGGAAGGGAAGCCCGCCCACCUCGGCUACCACAUGCCUGCAGAGUGGGAACCCCAUUCACACUGCUGGAUGGGUUGGCCUGAACGCCGAGAUAACUGGCGAGAUAAUGCAGUGCCUGCACAACAUGUAUUUGCUAAAGUAGCAUCUGCAAUUUCGAAGUUUGAGUCUGUAAGCGUGUGCGCCAGUGCUGCCCAGUGGAAGAAUGCACGCUCUCAGCUGCCAAAACAUGUCAGGGUGGUGGAGAUGAGUUUGAAUGAUUCCUGGUUUCGUGACACUGGACCCACUUUCGUUGUAGGGGACAAAAAGGCAGCAUCACUUUCAGGCUAUCCAGAACAUAAGGUUGCUGGAAUUGAUUGGAAUUUUAAUAGCUGGGGUGGAGUAAAGGAAGGUUGCUACAAGGACUGGAGUCUUGAUGAUCUUGUUGCCCAGAAGAUUAUAGAUAUCGAGAGACUUCCUAGGUUUAAAAAUUGUAUCAUCCUUGAAGGUGGAAGCAUACAUGUAGAUGGAGAAGGGACUUGCAUUACCACAGAAGAAUGCCUAUUGAAUCCAAAUCGAAACCCAACAAUGAGUAAGGAACAAAUAGAGGAUGAACUGAAGAUGUAUCUUGGGGUCAGAAAGGUUAUUUGGUUGCCUCGAGGAUUGUUUGGUGAUGAUGAUACGAAUGGCCAUAUUGACAAUUUCUGCUGCUUUGUUAAGCCUGGCGUGGUUGUUUUGGCAUGGACUGAUGAUGAAUCAGAUCCUCAAUAUGAGCGAUCUAUUGAAGCCUUUUCUGUUCUCUCCAGUGCUACUGAUGCCGAAGGCAGAAGAAUAGAAAUAAUCAAACUACACGUGCCCGGGCCGCUUUACAUGACAGAGGAGGAAGCAAAUGGGAUUCAGGCGGAUGAUGAUGCGAAGCUGAGAUUGGCUGGUACAAGACUAGCUGCUUCAUACGUAAAUUUCUACAUUGCCAAUGGAGGGAUUAUCGCUCCAGCAUUUGGGGAUGAAAAGCGAGACAGGGAAGCCUUCUCUGUGCUCUCUUCAGCUUUUCCAAAUCAUGAAUUCUUGGUGAACUCAAGAAUUGGGUGGUGGGGUGCAGGUGGUCAUGAUUGAAGGUGCGAGGGAGAUUGUCCUUGCAGGAGGAAAUAUACAUUGCAUAACACAGCAACAGCCAGCUUUCUAGGAGCCAUGAUAUGGAAAUUCUGUUCCCAGGGAAUUCUAAUUUAAAUUAAACCAUUGGUUUACGGAAUCAUCUCUACCCAAUCAAUAUAUGAUUGAGGGUGAGCCAGUGGCUCAAGAACAGGAGUACGUGGGCAAGCCCAAAAAAGACAAGGGAUACAUGACUCUACUUGACAGAGGAAGAGGUUGCUGCCCUAGACCAGCCAUGAUUAUUAUUUCAAUUCCAUUUGAUGUUCUUAUAUUAUUAUUAAAAUUAAUUUAUUGCAUAUGACCCCAAAUGGGAGUCAUUGGCUAUGUUAAUAACUGAUUAUUGGAAUUGAUGGUUGAUUUCUUAUUUGUGAGAUGUGGCUGACUAUGAAUGGAAUUUAGAUCUAUGGUAGUGCUACUAGAUAGGUAAAUUUUGUGUAAGCAUAUCAAAUAAUUUAAGUACACUUAGUGUACAAGUCAUAACAUAGA